rnacentral:rRNA from 1 species
CCUACGGGAGGCAGCAGUGAGGAAUAUUGGUCAAUGGACGAGAGUCUGAACCAGCCAAGUAGCGUGAAGGAUGACUGCCCUAUGGGUUGUAAACUUCUUUUAUAUGGGAAUAAAAUGUUCCACGUGUGGGAUUAUGGAUGUACCAUAUGAAUAAGGAUUGGCUCAACGCGUGCCAGGAGCCGCGGUAAUACGGAGGAGUCGAGUGUUAUCCGGAUUUAUUGGGUUUAAAGGGAGCGUUGGUGGGUUGUUAAGGCAGGUGUGAAAGUUUGCGGGUCAACCGUAAAAUUGCAGUUGAAACUGGCAGUCUUGAGUGCAGUAGAGGUAGGCGGAAUUCGUGGUGUAGCGGUGAAAUGCUUAGAUAUCCCGAAGAACUCCGGUGGCGAAGGCAGCUCGCUGGACUGCAACUGACACUGAGGCUCGAAAGUGUGGGUAUCAAACAGGAUUAGAUACCCUAGUAGUC